UACGUAGGAGGCGAGCGUUGUCCGGAUUUACUGGGCGUAAAGCGCGUGUAGGCGGUUCGAUUAGUCUGCUGUGAAAGCUCCCCGCUUAACGAGGAGAGGUCGGUGGAUACUGUCGGACUUGAGGACGGUAGAGGGGGGUGGAAUUCCAGGUGUAGCGGUGAAAUGCGUAGAUAUCUGGAGGAACACCGGUGGCGAAGGCGGCAUCCUGGACCAUUACUGACGCUGAGGCGCGAAAGCUAGGGGAGCAAACAGG
rnacentral:rRNA from 1 species